UCCUACCCGAAGCUGUGCACUCUGUGGAAGAAGAUGAUGUUCCCCGAAUAGAGGACUGGUCUUUGGUCAAAGGUAUCGGUAGCUGUGCUCCCCUACUAGGACCUCCAACAAUCUCUUAAUACUGUAUGGGCUAGGUGUUAGAAGAGGGGGC
ensembl:misc_RNA 7SK 7SK RNA